AGAGUUUGAUUAUGGCUCAGGAUGAACGCUAGCGACAGGCUUAACACAUGCAAGUCGAGGGGCAGCGCGGUGGUAGCAAUACUACUGGCGGCGACCGGCGCACUGGUGAGUAACACGUAUGCGACCUGCCCCGGACAGGGGGAUAAACCCGGGAAACUGGGCCUAAUACCCCAUAAGCCUUGAGGCUGCAUGGUCUUGAGGUGAAAGAUCCGUCGGUCCGGGAUGGGCAUGCGGCGCAUUAGCUAGUUGGCGGGGCAACGGCCCACCAAGGCGACGAUGCGUAGGGGUUCUGAGAGGAAGGUCCCCCACACUGGUACUGAGACACGGACCAGACUCCUACGGGAGGCAGCGGUGAGGAAUAUUGGUCAAUGGACGGUGGUCUGAACCAGCCAAGUCGCGUGCGGGAUGAAGGCCCUCCGGGUCGUAAACCGCUUUAGCCGGGGAGUAACGUGCGGCACGUGUGCCGCAGUGAGAGUACCCGGAGAAUAAGCAUCGGCUAACUCCGUGCCAGCCGCCGC
rnacentral:rRNA from 1 species